rnacentral:rRNA from 1 species
AGAGUUUGAUCCUGGCUCAGGAUGAACGCUGGCGGCGUGCCUAACACAUGCAAGUCGAGCGAUUCUCUUCGGAGAAGAGCGGCGGACGGGUGAGUAACGCGUGGGUAACCUGCCCUGUACACACGGAUAACAUACCGAAAGGUAUGCUAAUACGAGAUAAUAUACUUUUAUCGCAUGGUAGAAGUAUCAAAGCUCCGGCGGUACAGGAUGGACCCGCGUCUGAUUAGCUAGUUGGUAAGGUAACGGCUUACCAAGGCGACGAUCAGUAGCCGACCUGAGAGGGUGAUCGGCCACAUUGGAACUGAGACACGGUCCAAACUCCUACGGGAGGCAGCAGUGGGGAAUAUUGCACAAUGGGCGAAAGCCUGAUGCAGCAACGCCGCGUGAGCGAUGAAGGCCUUCGGGUCGUAAAGCUCUGUCCUCAAGGAAGAUAAUGACGGUACUUGAGGAGGAAGCCCCGGCUAACUACGUGCCAGCAGCCGCGGUAAUACGUAGGGGGCUAGCGUUAUCCGGAUUUACUGGGCGUAAAGGGUGCGUAGGCGGUCUUUUAAGUCAGGAGUGAAAGGCUACGGCUCAACCGUAGUAAGCUCUUGAAACUGGAGGACUUGAGUGCAGGAGAGGAGAGUGGAAUUCCUAGUGUAGCGGUGAAAUGCGUAGAUAUUAGGAGGAACACCAGUGGCGAAGGCGGCUUACUGGACUGUAACUGACACUGAGGCACGAAAGCGUGGGGAGCAAACAGGAUUAGAUACCCUGGUAGUCCACGCCGUAAACG